GAUGAAGAACGUAGCGAAAUGCGAUAAGUAAUGUGAAUUGCAGAAUUCAGUGAAUCAUCGAAUCUUUGAACGCACCUUGCGCCCUUUGGCCAUUCCGAAGGGCAUGCCUGUUUGAGUAUCAUGAACACCUCAACUCUUCAUGGUUUUCCAUGAUGAGCUUGGACUUUGGGGGUCUUGCUGGCCUGUGGGUCGGCUCCUCUCAAAUGAAUCAGCUUGCCGGUUUUUGGUGGGCAUCACAGGUGUGAUAACUAUCUACGCUUGUGGUUUUCCACCAGGGUAACCUUCAGCAGUGGAGGUUCACUGGAGCUUACAAAUGUCUCUCCUCUGUGAGGACAGCCCUUUGAAUGUUUGAUCUCAAAUCAGGUAGGACUACCCGCUGAGCUUAAGCAUAUCAAUAAGCGGAGGA
rnacentral:misc_RNA from 1 species